rnacentral:rRNA from 1 species
AUUGAACGCUGGCGGCGUGCUUAACACAUGCAAGUCGAUCGGUAACAGGUGUAGCAAUACAUGCUGACGAGAGGCGGACGGGUGAGUAAUGCUUGGGAAUCUGCCUAUUAGUGGGGGACAACCCGGGAAACUCGGGCUAAUACCGCAUACGCUCUACGGAGGAAAGCCGGGGACCGCAAGGCCUGGCGCUAAUAGAUGAGCCCAAGUCGGAUUAGCUAGUUGGUAGGGUAACGGCCUACCAAGGCGACAAUCCGUAGCUGGUCUGAGAGGACGACCAGCCACACCGGAACUGAGACACGGUCCGGACUCCUACGGGAGGCAGCAGUGGGGAAUAUUGGACAAUGGGGGCAACCCUGAUCCAGCGACGCCGCGUGGGUGAAGAAGGCCUGCGGGUUGUAAAGCAC